CCAACUGCACAGCGGGAGGAGCGGCAAGGGCAUGAGGGAAGUCAGCAGCGGCCAUAGUAGGUGGCGACAUCCCACCGAAGGGC
rfam:Ectothiorhodospira sp. PHS-1 contig069, whole genome shotgun sequence.